UGCUAACUGCUUGCAGAUGAAAGUCAGAGUGAAGUUUAGAGCUCCGGCUCGCCAACAAAACAAUGCCCGGCACUGCGACCUGGCCACGCUGCCACCUGUCCCCACGGCCAGGCCACAGCAGCUGUCUGGAGGUUUGGGUCCCACCACCACGUCCAUAAAACCAGAGCGUGUUCUAGCUAGCGUGUCCUCAAGGACAAAUGCAGUAUCUGGUGCUGCCACACAGUGGUGAAGAGGCAGUUCAGAAGGCAACAUCUGCAACCCUGGAGGAUCUUCGGAGCCUGAGACAACCCUAGGCUGAUCCCACGGGACACCCAGGAAGGAGCUGUGGGGAGCUGGCAAUUUAAAGCUCUUUGGCAACCAGCCUGACUCUUCCCUGAUGGACACGAUUCCCUGCAUGGUGCUCCCGAAGCCCAGAAUUUCUGUUUAUAUCCUGUUACGUUACCCAAACCAAGUAGCCUCCCAUGCUGGGCCUCCUCACAGGUUUCACAGACUCACAGGCUCUUCUCAAGGCUCUGGGGUUAAUGCAGCUGCCUUGCUCUGGGCUACUUCACUCAACAAGACCCUUGAGACAGGAGCAUGGAUGCUUUGCUA